GGUUUAAGACAUUGCCUUCGAGAGAACAGAGCAUCGAUAUGAAGAUGGUGUUACUGUUCCGUUGCGGGCAUACAACAAAUGGAUUCCUUUCUCUACUUCUUUCGAUCUGUAAGCUUGAUUCUUCGUCGAGCAAUUUUCAGUUUCGAUGAGGAAGGAUUUUUCUACAUUCGUCUCUUUUUUUUUUUUUUCCCUUUUGUAACUCUCUUCUUCUACUUCUUCUUCAAGGCCGAUCCAAUGGGUUCUCGGACGUGUAAAUCACUCGAGUACUCAAUUUCACCCGGCCGAUAUUUUUUUGGGGCAGCCUCAAGGUUUUGCAUGGUUCUCAUUCGUGCUCAAAUUCAGGGAACUGCCCUAAAUUCUUCCUUUUGUUCAAUUUAUUCAUUCGUUUUCCCCUCUUCUUGCGAUAGUUAGAUUGUGUAACUCUGUUCAUUUAGGGAUGUUUUCGAUAAACGACGUUUACUGUGGCUUAGGGUUUUCCUUUUAGCGGAAUUGUUUGUUUGAACGAAAUUCAAAGGAAUUGGGGGUUAUUGCGAUGAAUCCUUUUAACCGGUGGAGAUUCUUGUUACGGCUGCGUUUGAUUCGAUUCGACCUGAUCUCAGUCGGUCCUUUGGGUUUGUCUCAUUGGAUAUGUUUUAAUUAUUCCUGAAUAAGUAUCUAUCUUUCUUAAUUAGUCAAUACAUUAAUGGGUUAUUUUCUGGAUGAACUUGGUUAAUGUGUUUGUCCCCUAUUUUCUAUCAACAUUUUUCAGGAAUUUGAGACAGGCGUUUCACGAAGUUGGGUGCUAGUUUUUGAUAGCUUCACGAAACUUUUUAUCUUCAAGUCAAGGAUGAAGAUGUUUUUGAUAUAUCUGUGAAUUGAAUGGUUUGAUUUAGGAUAUGAAAUGUUUAUGUAGAUCUCCAACAUUUUCUAACUUGUAAAACAUAAUAAAUGUUGAAUUAGAAUGUCAAAACUUAGUUUGAGAGUAAAUAUUUUCUUCUUCCGAUAUAUCUGAACAACUGGAUACGCAUAAUUCUUCACAUUGUUUCUUGUACAGAUUCUGAAUUAAAUCCUCUAAGUUGUCAUUGGUGGAAAAGUCAUUGGUGCUACUGCAUUUGCAAGUAGCAAGUAAAAAAUAACAUCCACAUAUUUCAAUUUAGUUUUUAUCUCCCCAAAUGGUUUAUCUAAUUAAUCAACUAAUACUUGUGCAUUGUUUUGGUUUCUACAUCUCUUUCUUGUUUUCUAAAGCACCAUCUAACCUUUUGGAAUCCACCUUAAUCGUUAUAACCUUUUGUCCUAAUCUAGUUUCUAAACGUAGAUUUUUUCGACCAAUAUUAAUCUCAACUAAAUCUGUGUCAACUAAUCUAGUUUUUAUAUGUCCAUGGUUGGGGUUGAUUAGUAUUUAUUGUUUAAAGUCUUACAAUAGGACAUUAUAGUUUUGGUAAUUCCUAUUCCUAUGGUUGAGGUUGCAAUCAAAGAUUAUGAGUUCCCAUUUUCAGGUUAGGAGCAUGAGCGAGCAUCAGAAAUUCCCUAUCUAAAUAUUUUUGGUCUAAACUCAUGUGCCCCCUCACCUAUAAAUCACAAUCAGGUUGGGUAAAAUAGUUUGUAAGUUUUGUUUCAUUUUGCACGACUUGAUCAAUUGGUCUAAGAAUUUCAUUUACUUUGUUAGUAUAACAGUUUUUAUUUAUAUACUUGUGUAACUAAAUUAAAAGUACAAAAAUUAAAUUGUUGCAAAUCAAAGUUUAUCAAAAUUUAGGGAUUAUUAUCGUAAUAACCUGCAUCCUUAGGACGACAUAAACCAUCAAAUCUCAUUGUUACGAAGAUUUCCGAGGUAUAGCCGUAUGAACUCUAACAAAACUAUAGUCUGAACUAAUAACCUAAUUUUAGUUAGGUGUUUCCAAGAAUUGCACACACCUCUCCUUGAAUUUCUGUGUUUGAGUAUUACAAUUGGUGGUUGUAGUCUCAUAAUCUUAUUUUGAACAUUUUGUUUUAUGUAUGGAAUAUUUCAUGGUUGAAGUCUACAAGAACGCUGUUCAGGGACUCAUGUUGCAGAUACCUGUUUGAGAAAAUGACAAUGAGAAAGAAAGCUACUCGCAAAUGUAGUUCUUCAUAGCUACUCCCAAAUGCAGUUCGAGAAAUCACAUUAGAAGCCAUAUUUUGGAAAUAAGGCAUUACAUUUAACUUACAAGAUCCUUCUCUAAAGACCAUGCUUUCCCACUUGCUAACCAUCUUGUUACAACUGUGAUAGAAUGCUGGUACCAUAUCCUAUAAGCCAACGUAAAGGGUUGAUUAUCUUUUUGUGUUUGGCCCAUUUUUGUCCUUCAAGAUUUUCAAGUUCUUGUACAAGUAAACUGGUAAAAGAGAUUCAUAGUUGGCUUUUGGAAAUCAUUGAUGGAUGAGAACAUAGUUUUGAGUUGUUCAUGGUCCAUUAUGUGCACUCUUGGCAUCGGACCAAGCCACAUCAUUGAUUUCUUUCCUGUAAAGUUCAAUAUCAACAAUAUAUUCAGAGUUGAUAGUCUAUUUUAGGCACCAUUUUACUAAAGUGAUAGAUGUUAAUAUCCAUUUUGGGUGGGAUUCCGUUGCUGAAUAUAUUAGAAUCCUAAUGUCAGGAUCUUUGAUAUAUUAUACUUUUAGUUCUUUGA